AUCAGGCAAAAUAACACCCCAACAAGGACUCUGCAUCCUCGGAAUCUCCAGAUGGCGAAAAUUAUACUAUACCUGUUCAACAUUGUCCUCAACAACUCUGGAGAUGACUUGCAACAAACGAUUGAGGACCUUACCCGACAAAGGGUGCGGGUAGGGUUGAAGAGCCCCUGAAACAAUUUUUUGGCCACAGAAGACUGGCAUAGCCGGCUUUGGAAGUGCAAGCAUCUCUGCCAAGGUGACCAUAGUUAACAGCAAAUACUCAUCAUCUAUCCACAUUCUUGGACGCAACGCAACUCACUGUAUAAUGUUGGUACAGCCGAACGCCUUUACAACGAAUGAAACUACAAAGGAAUUACCAGUACAACAAAGGAUUCCCUGGUCGAAUUCCUAUCUUUCAUGUGUACUGAAAACGCCUUUAUAGUGAAGACCAAUACAAUGGAUUUGCCUGUACAACGAAGGAAUUUAGGUGUCCCCGAUGGCUAAUUUGUUGCUUCACAAUGAAUGCAGCUAGCAGUGCUGCUGCUGCCACCCGCAGCCACCAAUGAGCUGCAGUCAGCACUAAAACUAGCGAAGUGGUCGAUGAGUGUGCCGAUCACAGCGAGUGAUUUAGUCUUGCUGCACAGCUCGAGGAAUAUUCAACUCAAGUUAUAUGUCACUUGUUGCAACAUAGCAGCAGGUCUGACAGCUGAUGAAUAAGUGAAAGUUGACGACAUGAUUAGCUCAGAAUGGACAAGCGACGAUGUCGCAGCCUACAAGGACGAGGCAGAGGUGAAGGUUGAUGAAGGCAACAAUUAUGAAAAGCCUGAAGAUUAGAAAAAAAAAAAGGCAAAUGGUGCCAAUAAUGACAUUUGAAAGUUUGCAGCCGUAUCUUGCUCCCGGGUUUCAUAAUGGAGUGAGCAUGAACCUCGAUGACAUAAGGUCUCCUGCACUUGUGCAUUUCGUUGGGGGAAGUGCGCAGAAGAAAAUUAGUGACUUCUUUCACUAUCUCUUUCACUUAUAAUAAAUUAAAGUUUUAUUUUGGUGGACACUCUCAGCCUUAUCUUUACAAUGAAGCGACCUGCAUUAGAAAGAAUUUUAGAGGUCCCGGAGGGCUUCAUUAUAAAGGCAUUUGACUGUGUUUUGCUCUUUUGUGCAUUUUAUUUUUGUGCUGUUCAAGGAUUUUCCUAAGCGCAAGUCAUCAAAAAGAAGAGCAACUAUUUAGCCCUUUUCUUGCAUUGUGCAAAGUGUCGAAGACAGUUCCCAGACUUGUGUAAUAAUAAACAUCAAAAGCUAGGCAUCUGACGACAUAUUUUCGUGUACAAAAUGUCGAAUUUUGCCACAUGACACCUUGAUGGU